AACGAACGCUGGCGGCAGGCUUAACACAUGCAAGUCGAGCGCAUCCUUCGGGGUGAGCGGCAGACGGGUGAGUAACGCGUGGGAACGUACCCUUUCCUACGGAAUAGCUCCGGGAAACUGGAAUUUAUACCGUAUACGCCCUUAGGGGGAACGAUUUAUCGGGGAAGGAUCGGCCCGCGUUGGAUUAGCUAGUUGGUGGGGUAAAGGCCUACCAAGGCGACGAUCCAUAGCUGGUCUGAGAGGAUGAUCAGCCACAUUGGGACUGAGACACGGCCCAAACCCCUACGGGAGGCAGCAGUGGGGAAUAUUGGACAAUGGGCGCAAGCCUGAUCCAGCCAUGCCGCGUGAGUGAUGAAGGCCUUAGGGUUGUAAAGCUCUUUCAGUAGGGAAGAUAAUGACGGUACCUACAGAAGAAGCCCCGGCUAACUUCGUGCCAGCAGCCGCCGUAA
rnacentral:rRNA from 1 species